ACUGACACUGAGGUGCGAAAGCGUGGGAGCAAACGGGAUUAGAUACCCCGGUAGUCCACGCUGUAAACGAUGUCUACUAGCCGUUGGAGGACUUGAUCCUUUAGUGGCGCAGCUAACGCGAUAAGUAGACCGCCUGGGGAGUACGGUCGCAAGAUUAAAACUCAAAUGAAUUGACGGGGGCCCGCACAAGCGGUGGAGCAUGUGGUUUAAUUCGAAGCAACGCGAAGAACCUUACCUACUCUUGACAUCCAGUGAACUUUUGAGAGAUCAAUUGGUGCCUUCGGGAACACUGAGACAGGUGCUGCAUGGCUGUCGUCAGCUCGUGUUGUGAAAUGUUGGGUUAAGUCCCGUAACGAGCGCAACCCUUGUCCUUAGUUACCAUCAUUAAGUUGGGGACUCUAAGGAGACUGCCGGUGACAAACCGGAGGAAGGCGGGGACGACGUCGAGUCAUCAUGGCCCUUACGAGUAGGGCUACACACGUGCUACAAUGGCAUGUACAAAGGGUUGCCAAGCCGCGAGGUGGAGCUAAUCCCAUAAAGCAUGUCGUAGUCCGGAUUGGAGUCUGCAACUCGACUCCAUGAAGUCGGAAUCGCUAGUAAUCGUGAAUCAGAAUGUCACGGUGAAUACGUUCCCGGGCCUUGUACACACCGCCCGUCACACCAUGGGAGUGGGUUGCUCCAGAAGUAGAUAGCUUAACCUUCGGGAGGGCGUUUACCACGGAGUGAUUCAUGACUGGGGUGAAGUCGUAACAAGGUAGCCGUA
rnacentral:rRNA from 1 species